rnacentral:rRNA from 1 species
UUGGGAAUCUUCCGCAAUGGACGAAAGUCUGACGGAGCAACGCCGCGUGAGUGAAGAAGGAUUUCGGUUCGUAAAACUCUGUUGUUAGGGAAGAAAAAAUGUAUAGUAACUAUAUACAAAAGAGACGGUACCUAACCAGAAAGCCACGGCUAACUACGUGCCAGCAGCCGCGGUAAUACGUAGGUGGCAAGCGUUGUCCGGAAUUAUUGGGCGUAAAGCGCGCGCAGGUGGUUUAGAAAGUCUGAUGUGAAAGCCCACGGCUCAACCGUGGAGGGUCAUUGGAAACUAAUAAACUUGAGUACAGGAGAUAAAAGAGGAAUUCCUAGUGUGGCGGUGAAAUGCGUAGAGAUUAGGAGGAACACCGGUGGCGAAAGCGGCUUUUUGGCCUGCAACUGACACUGAGGCGCGAAAGCAUGGGGAGCAAACAGG